UCCGGUUUGUCACCGGCAGUCCCAUUAGAGUGCCCAACUGAAUGUAGCAACUAAUGACAAGGGUUGCGCUCGUUGCGGGACUUAACCCAACAUCUCACGACGCGAGCUGACGACAGCCAUGCAGCACCUCGACUCUAGUCCCGAAGGAACCCGCCAUCUCUGGCGGUAGCACGGCAUGUCAAGGGCUGGUAAGGUUCUUCGCGUUGCGUCGAAUUAAACCACAUGCUCCACCGCUUGUGCGGGCCCCCGUCAAUUCCUUUGAGUUUUAGCCUUGCGGCCGUACUCCCCAGGCGGGUCACUUAAUGCGUUAGCUCCGGCACGGAGGGAGUCGACACCCCCCACACCUAGUGACCAUCGUUUACGGCGUGGACUAC
rnacentral:misc_RNA from 1 species